rnacentral:rRNA from 1 species
GACGAACGCUGGCGGCGUGCUUAACGCAUGCAAGUCGAACGGUAAGGCCCUUCGGGGUACACGAGUGGCGAACGGGUGAGUAACACGUGGGUGAUCUGCCCUGCACUUCGGGAUAAGCCUGGGAAACUGGGUCUAAUACCGGAUAGGACCACUGCCUGCAUGGGUGGUGGUGGAAAGCUUUUGCGGUGUGGGAUGGGCCCGCGGCCUAUCAGCUUGUUGGUGGGGUGAUGGCCUACCAAAGCGACGACGGGUAGCCGGCCUGAGAGGGUGACCGGACACACUGGGACUGAGAUACGGCCCAGACUCCUACGGGAGGCAGCAGUGGGGAAUAUUGCACAAUGGGCGCAAGCCUGAUGCAGCGACGCCGCGUGAGGGAUGACGGCCUUCGGGUUGUAAACCUCUUUCAGCACCGACGAAGCGCAAGUGACGGUAGGUGCAGAAGAAGGACCGGCCAACUACGUGCCAGCCGCCGCAGUAA